UGUGUUUUUGCUACCUAGAACAACAAUGCACAUUUCUAUAUAAAUGUCGCUGCAUAACAGUUAAGUGUUCACUUGAGAAAGACAUCACCGAACUGUAAGCUGAAACUAAUCAUGUCGAUAAUUCCAUUGUUAUUUCUUGUAUUGGUUGCUUGUGUUUACGCACAGAGCCUUGACAACGUCGACGAAGAAACAAAUGAUCUAGUCAAAAGGCACAGGAUUCAAGUAGGCGGUCAUGUUCAGUUUAGAAACGGAUGGCGUGUUGGUGGCCAUUUUCAUCAUGGAUGGGGAUCUCAUCGCGGAACAGGAGGUGGCAUUUCAAUCUCGAAGUCCUGGGGCAAAAAGAGAGCAUCAACUGUCUGCAUGUCAAGAUGUGCAUAUGCCUGCAGAAAUUCUACAGUUAAAUGUAUGAAGAGCUGUCUUAUGAAUAUGUGCUGAUAUGAUCUCUGAUGUUUUGUUUUGAAAUAAAGAGUAAUCAUAUGUUGAA